rnacentral:rRNA from 1 species
GAUGAACGCUGGCGGCGUGCCUAAUACAUGCAAGUCGAGCGAACAGAUAAGGAGCUUGCUCCUUUGACGUUAGCGGCGGACGGGUGAGUAACACGUGGGUAACCUACCUAUAAGACUGGGAUAACUUCGGGAAACCGGAGCUAAUACCGGAUAAUAUUUCGAACCGCAUGGUUCGUUAGUGAAAGAUGGUUUUGCUAUCACUUAUAGAUGGACCCGCGCCGUAUUAGCUAGUUGGUAAGGUAACGGCUUACCAAGGCGACGAUACGUAGCCGACCUGAGAGGGUGAUCGGCCACACUGGAACUGAGACACGGUCCAGACUCCUACGGGAGGCAGCAGUAGGGAAUCUUACGCAAUGGGCGAAAGCCUGACGGAGCAACGCCGCGUGAGUGAUGAAGGUCUUCGGAUCGUAAAACUCUGUUAGUAGGGAAGAACAUACGUGUAAGUAACUGUGCACGUCUUGACGGUACCUAAUCAGAAAGCCACGGCUAACUACGUG